AGUAACGCGUGAGCAACCUGCCUAUGACAGUGGGAUAGCCUCGGGAAACCGGGAUUAAUACCGCAUAAAAUCGUAGAAACACAUGUUUCAACGGUCAAAGAUUUAUCGGUCAUAGAUGGGCUCGCGUCUGAUUAGCUAGUUGGUGAGAUAACAGCCCACCAAGGCGACGAUCAGUAGCCGGUCUGAGAGGAUGAACGGCCACAUUGGAACUGAGACACGGUCCAA
rnacentral:rRNA from 1 species